CUAGUGCUCCUUUGCUGCAGUUCAGACACAUUGCUUUGUGCCUUGUCCCCUACAGUAGUUAAAAAGACCCUUUCCCUUCUGUAUGAUGAGGGCAAGAACAAGAACAGGAGCUUUUCUAAAGGAGUCUUUGGGGAAGGGAGGGAAGAGUUCAACUAAGUUCUCUGCUCCCCAGCAGUUGUCCCAGGUCAGGUUUAGUUUUUGGUGCAGUGAUUCACAGGUAAAGGUCAUAAUUCCUGGAGGAAGUAUGGCCCCACUGCCCUUCCCACAUGGCUAAAAUAGAAGGGUCCCAGUUGCACAGGGAUGGGAAGAGCCACUCUGAUGAGGUACACACCAUAUCUAAGGGAGCUACAGGAGUGUCACACCAGAUCAGAAGGCAGUGUGAACACUAAUCCCCAAGACAGUGCCAGGCACCUCUCCAGUGGGAAUGUCCAGGGGCUGUGCAAGGCACAUGCAUGACCUGGCUGGGAUGCAGGUUUAAGUUACACAAGGAAGGAUCCUCAGCCAGAUGUGCCAUCUGAAGUCAAUCAAUGCAGCGGCUUGGAGUGGAAAAUCCUUUACUUUUCUUCA